rnacentral:rRNA from 1 species
AUUGAACGCUGGCGGCAUGCCUUACACAUGCAAGUCGAACGGUAACAGGUCUUCGGAUGCUGACGAGUGGCGAACGGGUGAGUAAUACAUCGGAACGUGCCUAGUAGUGGGGGAUAACUACUCGAAAGAGUGGCUAAUACCGCAUGAGAUCUACGGAUGAAAGCAGGGGAUCGCAAGACCUUGUGCUACUAGAGCGGCCGAUGGCAGAUUAGGUAGUUGGUGGGAUAAAAGCUUACCAAGCCGACGAUCUGUAGCUGGUCUGAGAGGACGAUCAGCCACACUGGGACUGAGACACGGCCCAGACUCCUACGGGAGGCAGCAGUGGGGAAUUUUGGACAAUGGGCGCAAGCCUGAUCCAGCAAUGCCGCGUGCAGGAUGAAGGCCUUCGGGUUGUAAACUGCUUUAGUACGGAACGAAAAGCCCUGGGUUAAUACCCUGGGGUCAUGACGGUACCGUAAGAAUAAGCACCGGCUAACUACGUACCAGCCGCCGCGGUAAUAC